CCCGCACAAGCAGCGGAGCGUGUGGUUUAAUUCGAUGUUACACGAAGAACCUUACCAGGGUUUGACAUGCAAGUGGUAGGAAGCCGAAAGGUGACCGACCCUUCGGGGAGCUUGCACAGGUGCUGCAUGGCUGUCGUCAGCUCGUGUCGUGAGAUGUUCGGUUAAGUCCGCUAACGAGCGCAACCCUCGCUGUGUGUUAUAUGUGUCACACGGGACUGCCGGUCUUAAGCCGGAGGAAGGUGGGGAUGAUGUCAAGUCAGCAUGGCCUUUAUAUCCUGGGCUACACACACGCUACAAUGGCCAACACAAUAGGUUGCUAAGCCGCGAGGUGGAGCCAAUCCAUAAAGUUGGUCUCAGUUCAGAUUGUAGGCUGCAACCCGCCUGCAUGAAGAUGGAGUUGCUAGUAACCGCAGGUCAGCUAUACUGCGGUGAAUACAUUCCCGGGGCUU
rnacentral:rRNA from 1 species